UUUUAUUGCUUAAAUUACCCAGAGUCAGUUUCUUGCACCUAAAAUUACUUGGGUCAGGCCUGGUUAGUACUUGGAUGGGAGACCACCUAGGAAGACCAGGUGCUGUAGGCA
rnacentral:rRNA from 1 species